AUGAAUCACAUUUUGAGAGAACAUAAGAGAGCUGGAGAAGGACCAAACUGCAGAGAAAAUCAUUUUGCUGCAAAGCUCUUUUACAAAAGGAGAAGACGUGGUUUAUCCUUUCCCUCUCUCGCCAUGACUCCAGCACAAAAAACCCACAAGGCUUCAAGUGAUUCACCCCAAGUGUCCAGGCAGGCAGUAUUAGAAAAAGGCAGUCAUGAGCUACUACAUGCCAUUUUGAUAAAGGAGGCUACAAUUCAUGAAGAGACAGACGUGGAAAAAAAGAGGAAAGAGUGGUGUAAUCAUAAGAGGCCAUUUGUGGACAUUACUAAAUCUGAGGAACUGAUGCAAUACCUGCAGCUAAACAAGGAAAGACAAGUAGCAGAACAUCAACUCUCUGGAGAAAUGAGCCAGUGAUUAAAGCUCAGAGGAAACAGCAAUCAAAAAACAUUUGGACUUUGGCAGUUCAUAGCACUGAAAAACUCACAUUCCUUUUUUUCUCUCACAGUUUUUGUUUGGUGAGUACUGC
rnacentral:lncRNA from 11 species